rnacentral:rRNA from 1 species
AAUGAACGCUGGCGGCAUGCCUAACACAUGCAAGUCGAGCGAGACCUUCGGGUCUAGUGGCGCGCGGGUGCGUAACGCGUGGGAAUCUGCCCUUGGGUUCGGAAUAACAGUUAGAAAUGACUGCUAAUACCGCAUAAUGUAUUUUGGUUGCAUGACUGAAAUAUCAAAGGAGUAAUCCGCUAUGAGAUGGACCCGCGGCGCAUUAGCUAGUUGGUGAGGUAACGGCUCACCAAGGCGACGAUGCGUAGCCGACCUGAGAGGGUGAUCGGCCACAUUGGAACUGAGACACGGUCCAGACUCCUACGGGAGGCAGCAGUGGGGAAUAUUGCGCAAUGGGGAAACCCUGACGCAGCAACGCCGCGUGAAUGAUGAAGGCCUUAGGGUUGUAAAGUUCUGUCUUCUGGGACGAUAAUGACGGUACCAGAGGAGGAAGCCACGGCUAACUACGUGCCAGCAGCCGCCGUAAGAC